CACGUAGGGGGCUAGCGUUGCUCGGAAUUACUGGGCGUAAAGCGCACGUAGGCGGCUUUCUAAGUCGGGGGUGAAAUCCUGGAGCUCAACUCCAGAACUGCCUUCGAUACUGGAAAGCUCGAGUCCGGGAGAGGUGAGUGGAACUGCGAGUGUAGAGGUGAAAUUCGUAGAUAUUCGCAAGAACACCAGUGGCGAAGGCGGCUCACUGGCCCGGUACUGACGCUGAGGUGCGAAAGCGUGGGGAGCAAACAGG
rnacentral:rRNA from 1 species